UACGAAGGGGGGCUAGCGUUGUUCGGAUUUACUGGGCGUAAAGCGCACGUAGGCGGAUUGGUCAGUUAGGGGUGAAAUCCUGGAGCUCAACUCCAGAACUGCCUUUAAUACUGCCAAUCUCGAGUCCGGAAGAGGUAAGUGGAACUCCUAGUGUAGAGGUGGAAUUCGUAGAUAUUAGGAAGAACACCAGUGGCGAAGGCGGCUUACUGGUCCGGUACUGACGCUGAGGUGCGAAAGCGUGGGGAGCAAACAGG
rnacentral:rRNA from 1 species